AUGCCCGGAGGGAUGAUGAUCCCAGGACGCAACAUGAUUGGCCGGAGCAACGGCGCCGGCGUCGCCUACGCCUCCUCCUCCUCCUCCGCACUCUCCCUCGGCCAGAACUUGAUGGAUGGGAUGCACCACCACCAGCUCCCAGCAAUGCUGCAGCACCAGAUGGUUGAUCACCAUCUUCUUCUUCCCCAGCACCACCACCACCCCCACCAGCAGGCGGCCACGAGCGAGAGCGAUGCCCGUGGCCCCCACGGAGGGGGCAACAACAACAGCAGCAACAACAACGAAGAGCUGGAGAUGAGCAAGUCAGGUACGGGAAGCGACAACAACCUCGACGGCGGGGAAGGCGGCGGCGGGGAGGACGAUGAGCAAGAGGACCCGGCCGGGCAGCAUCCCCGGAAGAAGAAGCGCUACCACCGUCACACCCAGCACCAGAUCCAGGAGCUUGAGGCCUUCUUCAAGGAGUGCCCCCACCCCGACGACAAGCAGCGCAAGGAGCUCAGCCGCAGCCUCUCCCUCGAGCCCCUCCAGGUCAAGUUCUGGUUCCAGAACAAGCGCACCCAGAUCAAGACGCAGCACGAGAGGCAGGAGAACACGGCACUCAGGACGGAGAACGAGAAGCUGAGGGCGGAGAACAUGAGGUACAAGGAAGCGCUGGCCAACGCGUCGUGCCCAAACUGCGGCGGCCCGGCGGCCAUCGGGGAGAUGUCCUUCGACGAGCACCACCUGCGCGUCGAGAACGCGCGCCUCCGCGACGAGAUCGACAGGAUCUCCGCCAUCGCCGCCAAGUACGUCGGCGGCAAGCCCGGCGCCGGGGUGGCUGUAGCCUCCGCUGCCUACCCGCCACUGCCACCGCAGUCUUCCGGCCGCUCUGCGCUCGACCACCUGGGCAUGCCCAGCAUGUUUGGAGGUGCUGAGUUCGAUAAGCCGAUGGUGAUCGAGCUGGCCGUGGCUGCCAUGGAGGAGCUGGUCCGGAUGGCGCAGCUCGGGGAGCCUCUCUGGGUGCCAUCCCUCGAUGGCGAGGCGCUCGGCGAAGAGGAGUAUGCUCGCGCCUUCCCACGGGGUGCACUCGGCCCCAAGUCGCCGGAGCUCCGGUCGGAGGCGUCGCGGGAGACGGACGUUGUCAUCAUGAACCACGUCAGCCUCGUCGAGAUGCUCAUGGACGUGCGUCAGUGGUCGGCGCUCUUCUCGAGCAUCGUAUCCCGGGCGGCCACGCUUGACGUGCUCUCCACCGGCGUCGCCGGCAAUCACGACGGCGCGCUGCAGCUCAUGUCCGCCGAAUUUCAGAUGCCAUCGCCGCUGGUGCCGACGCGGGACACCCAGUUCCUGCGCUACUGCAAGCAGCAUCCGGGCGGCGCAUGGGCCGUCGUCGACGUCUCCCUCGACGGUCUCCGUUCCGCUGCGCGGGUGGGCGGGCACUUUCGCCGCCGCGCCUCCGGCUGCCUCAUCCAGGAGAUGCCCAACGGCUACUCCAAGGUGACGUGGGUGGAGCACGUCGAGGCCGGUGACGAUGCCAUGGUACACGAUCUGUACAGGCCCCUGGUGAACUCUGGGCUGGCAUUCGGCGCGCGGCGGUGGACGUCGACGCUGAAGCGGCAGUGCGAGAGGCUGGCGAGCGCUAUGGCCACCGUGCCCUCCUCAGGCGGCGACGUGAUCACGACGGCGGAGGGGCGGAGGAGCAUGCUGAAGCUGGCGGAGAGGAUGACGGCGAGCUUCUGCGGCGGGGUGACUGCGUCGACUACGCACCAGUGGACGACGCUCUCUGGCAGUGGCGCGGAGGACGUGCGCGUGAUGACCCGCAAGAGCGUCGACGACCCCGGCCGCCCGCCGGGUAUCAUCCUCAACGCCGCCACCUCCUUCUGGCUCCCCGUCCCGCCCUCCCGCGUCUUCGGCUUCCUGCGCGACGACUCCACCCGCAGCGAAUGGGACAUCCUCUCCAAUGGCGGCGUCGUCCAGGAGAUGGCCCACAUCGCCAACGGCAGCCACCACGGCAACGCCGUCUCACUCCUCCGCGUCAACAACGCGAACUCGAACCAGAGCAACAUGCUGAUCCUGCAGGAAUGCUGCACGGACGCGACGGGGUCGUAUGUGGUGUACGCGCCGGUGGACGUGGUGGCCAUGAACGUGGUGCUCAACGGCGGGGACCCGGACUACGUGGCGCUGCUGCCGUCCGGGUUCGCCAUCCUUCCUGACGGGCCGGCCGGGGCGCCGGAUGCCGGCGGCUCGCUCCUCACUGUCGCCUUCCAGAUCCUCGUCGACUCCGUGCCCACAGCCAAGCUCUCGCUGGGAUCCGUCGCCACCGUCAACAGCCUCAUUGCCUGCACCGUCGACCGCAUCAAGGCCGCCGUCGUCGUCAGCCCCGGGGACAACGCCGGCGCCGCCACCAACCGGUGA
rnacentral:rRNA from 1 species